GAUGCUCGAUGACUCCGAUUUCCACAGGCUCCUCAUAUAGACGUUGUGUUCUCAUUGCUCAAAGCUAGCACUGCCAUGGCAACCUAAAGCCAGAGUAAAUGUCCACGAGGCCGGUUCACGGAGAAGAGCGAAGUCUUGGCGUUUGGAGUGAUCAGUCUCCAAAUGCUGUCAGGGAAGCAGAAAGUAGAUCACUCCAAGCGUCUGGCGAAGGGAAAAGUGCAGCAACUUUAGCGGCUUGCCGAACUUUGGCUGAAGAACUCACAGAAUCACGAUUUCCAGCUCCUAGAAUAUUGGCAUUUAAGGAGGGAAGCUGUACAUAGUGAAUGAGAAGAAUGAUUCUGAAUCAAGGGGUUCAAAGUCUAUAUCCAUAUUGGAUGGUCUAAUUUCUGGUAACACG